UUCACUGUGGACCUGCUUGCCCCUCACUUGAGUGCCCUGGUCAUCAGGAUGAGGAUGAUUUUCUGGUACAUCCAGCUGGUGAAACAUCCAUUAAAAGAUGCCACGUGUAUAACAUCAUGCCAGGACGUCAGGGAGAUAAAAUUCCCUUUAUGUACUGUGUAAACCACUGUUUUGAGGAUGAGCUAAUAGAGUGGAUACCAUAGGUCAAGAGGGACACCUGUUUUGUAUGGAUGAGGCCCUUAGAUGUUUUGUGUCGAGUAUUUCCAAUGACAUUGUAGAUGCAACUUGUGAGACAAAUUUUACAUUUGUGGAGUUUCACUGCAGAUCUUUCUACCCCUAACUUGACUGAGUGCCUUGGUCAGGAAAAGGAAUGUUAGGUUCAUGACCCUGCCACAUGUCAUUGGCAAGCCAUCUAGUAGCAGAUGUCAUGUGACUGUAUGACAUCAUUUCAUGCUUAGACAUAAUAAGAUCUCUCUUAAGUUCUGUGCAAACCACUGUUUUGGAAAUUAGCUGAAAGAAAGGACCACUGGUUCAGAAUGAAUUUUUGAAAUCUUUCCAUAUGUCUAAGUUGCAAGUGAAGGAUUAUGUGUGUUCAUGAUGGACAUAUACAGUGUCAAACCUUAGUUUGGCUAUACAGACCAAUCAUAUUCCCGUACACAAACAGUGCACAGAGUACAUGCAUGAAACAAGAGAAACAAUCUUUAACUUAAGUUUGUACAAGUUGUAAACUUUACAAUUAGUACUACUAGGCAUUGGGCUGAUUACCUUAGUGGCCUACUUAUUUCAAUCAUUGCCUUAAUUAGAGUGCUGAAUAUAGUUUAGUUUUUAUUUUUUACUAAUUUUUCCAUUUAGUUUGCUUUUGCCUUAGUUAUAAUAGUUUUUGAACCUCAGUUCACAAAGUAAUUACUUGAUGAUAAAAACACUCAAAUGCAGGUGGAGCUAACCUUUGAAAUUAACAAAAUUCAAAUGUGUGCUAAGGAAAAUGGAAAUGAAAGAAACAGUUUGUUGUUCUGUUUGGUUAAUUUCAAAGGCCAGCUCCACCGGCAUUUGAGUGUUCCUAUCAUCCAGCACUAACUUUGUGAACUGAGGUCAUUAAAGUAUUGUAAUGAAGGCAAAAGCAAACUAUACCCAGAUGUUAAAUUCCUUGUGAUGGGCAAAUAAGGAAAAUGGAAAUAAAAAGAACAGGUAAAA